rnacentral:misc_RNA from 1 species
GUGAAUCAUCAAAUUUUUGAACGCAAAUUGCACUCUCCUCGGAGAGUAUGCCUGUUUGAGGGUCAGCCUAUAAAAAUUGACAUCGUUGCUUUUUCGCGGGUGCGGUCGUCGGGAAUUGGGUCAUCUUUAAUCCUUUUGAUUUUAACGACUUAAAAUUUUCUUUUGUUUCUAUGUACGUGUCUCUGAUCUAUUUCUUUACACGCUUAAG